GAUGAACGCUGGCGGCGUGCCUAAUACAUGCAAGUCGAGCGAACAGACGAGGAGCUUGCUCCUCUGACGUUAGCGGCGGACGGGUGAGUUACACGUGGAUAACCUACCUAUAAGACUGGGAUAACUUCGGGAAACCGGAGCUAAUACCGGAUAAUAUAUUGAACCGCAUGGUUAAAUAGUGAAAGACGGUUUUGCUGUCACUUAUUGAUGGAUCCGCGCCGCAUUAGCUAGUUGGUAAGGUAACGGCUUACCAAGGCAACGAUGCGUAGCCGACCUGAGAGGGUGAUCAGCCACACUGGGACUGAGACACGGUCCAGACUCCUACGGGAGGCAGCAGUAGGGAAUCUUCCGCAAUGGGCGAAAGCCUGACGGAGCAAUGCCGCGUGAGUGAUGAAGGUCUUCGGAUCGUAAAACUCUGUUAUUAGGGAAGAACAAAUGUGUAAGUAACUAUGCACGUCUUGACGGUACCUAAUCAGAAAGCCACGGCUAACUACGUG
rnacentral:rRNA from 1 species